AAGAUGGCGACCGGCGCACGGGUGAGUAACACGUAUCCAACCUGCCGAUAACUCUGGAAUAGCCUUUCGAAAGAAAGAUUAAUACCGGAUAGUAUACGAAUAUCGCAUGAUAUUUUUAUUAAAGAAUUUCGGUUAUCGAUGGGGAUGCGUUCCAUUAGUUUGUUGGCGGGGUAACGGCCCACCAAGACUACGAUGGAUAGGGGUUCUGAGAGGAAGGUCCCCCACAUUGGAACUGAGAUACGGUCCAAACUCCUACGGGAGGCAGCAUG
rnacentral:rRNA from 1 species